rnacentral:lncRNA from 1 species
GGUGAAGUCAUAAUGCUGGAAUUGAAUAAUUUUUCUUAUUAAAAUAUAAUGGUUUCUUGAAAUGGUUUACAGUUCUUUCUUCAUUAUUAAUAAUAGGUUAAUAUAGAUGCAGGCAUGGCUGUGUGGCAAGAAGUUUGUUUCCUAAUAUCAUUCUCUUUUAUUGUUCAUUGUUUGAGAAAUAAGUUAGGAUUCCUCCUCUGGAAACAAAAUUUAAGUACGUCUUGGAAAACGUGUACUUAAAUCAUUUAAGUUUAAUAAAUGAUGUUUGAGAAUGCACAAGAAAUUUAUACAGACCUCGGUAUUGCAAUUCUCUGGAAUAUUCCUAUGCCUAUUCAUGUAGGUUGUCUGUCAAUGUUGUUUAUUCUUUCAGUUGGAGAUGUUACACAAAUUCCUUAACAAGUUUAACAGCUAGGUUGGAGUUAUUCCUUAGCUUUUUAACUUGCUUCUACACAUCUUUAGUUUAUUUGGUAUUUCUAUGCUGAUAAUUAGUACAGUAUUGUCAUUCUUGUCAUGGAAAAUGAUGUCAAGCUUAUCAUAUGCAAUCUGUUGGUCUGUCUGCUGUAGUUUCAUAGUAUUUUCAUGUCAUUUUCUAAGACAAGUGGUGGUUCACAUGAAUACAACAGAGCCUUUUUUUUUUUUCAAGGAGUUAAAAUUCGAUGGUUAGGUGUACAUAGAGCAGAUUUGCUAUAUAACUGCAUUUUCAAGUAUAUUUUGUCUGUGCUAGUGUAGGAGAUGUUGACAUAAUGUAUAGUAGUUUUCAGAAAAUAUACCGCUUAAGUGACAUUUAUAAUCUUUAUUGUAAGAAUUGUAGAAAUUCCUGUCAAUACAUUUAGUAGUGAUGGCCUUGAAUUUUGUUCAUUCAGGCUAUAGUUAGUUUUAAAUAGAGUAUCUACUUUUAUAGAUGUCCACCUUGGUUGAUUUAUGUGUCAUCAGUAUUUUCAUCUUGCCACUGCUUUUGAUUUAGACUUUAGCUGUUCAAAAUCUAAUCCAUUUUCUUGGCAGAAUUUUAUCAAUUUGCUAUCUUUUAACAUAAUUGACAAAGAUUAUGUUGCAGACUUGCUUAAGCUGCUCUUUAAUGCUCAUUAGUCACCUGCUGCCUUCUCUUAUGGGGAUCUUUAAUCAAACUCAUUGUGUAGUAUGUGGUGGAGGUUUUUUUUCUUUGUAGAUUUCUUUUGUUCUAGUCUAAUGAAUCUAGAUCUGCUUUGUUCCUGUUAGUGCAUAUCUGUUAAGAAUACAAAUAAUAUUCUUGCUCAGAGCUUAUGAGAUGCGUUAAAAAAAUUUUGUGUCUGUCAAAAUAUUCAUGUUCCAUUUUUAGAGAGUAGAAAUUGUUCACUUCAUGAAUUAUCGUCUUUCUGUGGUGUUCCCUAAUCAGUUUCUUAACUAAUCAGUCUGUUUCAUAUCGUUACUUUGCAUUUCUCCAUCCAGAGGGCCUUUUAUGUUCUUGCCAUAUUGUUCUAAAGAAACUCUAAAGCUGAUGACCACUUUCACUAUACAGCUUUAUAUUAAGAAGAGAUGGUCAACCAACUUGAAGACAAUAAGCAUAAAAUGAAUUUGAAGACCAGAUGUUCAAUCAUCUUGGAAUAUUGCAGUUGUUAUUCAUCUUCAGCUUAUAGUUGUGGUAGUGUUGUUGGUUACUGUUAGAACAGACUGCUUCUUCAUUUUGUUGAGAUGAAGUUAAUUGUAGUGUCCUCAAAUUGAUGCACUUCUAGCUUUUCAUGCCAGUUAUGUUGGGAUUGACCAAAAGCUUUCCUGUAAUCAGUUCAGGAACACAAUGGGUUCCUUUUGUAUACUUACACAUCAUUCAGUAGAAUCAUAACCAUUAGCUCACUGAUUUGCCCUUAGAAUAGUUUUCCCUGCCACUGCAUAAUUUUUGCGGGAACAAAAGACAUGAGCACCCAUUGUUUUAAAAUUGUUAUAACUUUUGUUGUAUGUACAGACUUGAUAUUUUUGUAUACUAAUAAAGGAAUGGAUGAAUAAUAUUUUUAUGUAAUGCUUUAAGGAAUAGAUGAAAGAGUUGCCCCUCGGAAAUGUACCUCCUUGGAGCCAGUACUUUCCUUAAAUCAGCCAACCAUGGAUGUUAGCACCCACUUGGUACAUUAUUCUGAGUAUAACUGUAAGCACAGUCUAUGUCCUCGUCAUCACCUUGAAUAAUUUCAUCAUUGAUAUUCACCUGAGUAAAUCCUUCAAAAUAGUCAUGAGUCAGAAGCAAACACGGUUUCUUUCAGAAAAGCUUCAAAUGCAAGAGCAGCCAUUUUCAUUCGGUUAAAAAAAAAAAAAAAAAAGCAAUCAAUUUCAAAGUUUAUUUACUUCAUAGGCAGUAUAUAAACAAUAAAAAUGGCAUCAGAAAACAAAAGUUUAACCUCAUUUUGAAUUGGAAAGUAGCCUGUUUACAGCUUAAAAUACCUGAAAUAAACUUAGUAAUGUAUUUAUUUUAAGUGCCCUUCUCAAGGUGACAAAAUGGGCUUGCAGCUACAGGGGCAACAAAUUGUGAUGAUGAGGGAGCUGGUCAGUUGUCCUGUAGGACUUAGACAUAAAUCCCUUUUGUUCUGCAGGAAUUAUACACACUCUCUCUUUUGUUCUGCAGGAAUUACAUUCUCUCUUUCUUUUUCCCCCAUCUCUCUCCCUCUCUCAAAUGUUCAGUUACUCUGAUAAUAUUUUGGAUGGUUAUUUACAAAUUACUAACAAAUAAGUAAUGAGGCAGGAUUACCUAUUGGUAAUUCCUCAAGGAUUGAUGUUUCACAAAUAAGGAAUCAUCUAGAUACUUGAUCUGGAUUGUGUUGGACCUUAGGUAGACAUUGUCUGUGCAAUAUGUCAAAAUAAGAACCAAAAUUUUGAAUGUUGUCAGUGCCAAACUUUUCCAGUUUCAGCUGCUUCAAGCAUAUCUCAAAUCAGAAUAUUAUUAUUACCAUCUUUUACUUGCAAUGGCUUCUGUAUAUUCUAGCAUUAAAAAAAAAAAAAACAAAGAAAAAAAAAGCAA